rnacentral:rRNA from 1 species
CUCAGUUCGGAUUGGAGUCUGCAACCCGACUCCAUGAAGCUGGAUUCGCUAGUAAUCGCGCAUCAGCCACGGCGCGGUGAAUACGUUCCCGGGCCUUGUACACACCGCCCGUCAAGCCAUGAAAGCCGGGGGUACCUGAAGUCCGUAACCGUAAGGAGCGGCCUAGGGUAAAACUGGUAAUUGGGGCUAAGUCGUAACAAGGUACC